UACGUAGGGGGCAAGCGUUGUCCGGAAUCAUUGGGCGUAAAGCGCGCGUAGGUGGCCCCAUAAGUCCGCUGUGAAAGUCAAAGGCUCAACCUUUGAAAGCCGGUGGAUACUGUGGGACUAGAGUACGGAAGAGGCGAGUGGAAUUCCUGGUGUAGCGGUGGAAUGCGCAGAUAUCAGGAGGAACACCAAUAGUGAAGGCAGCUCGCUGGGACGUUACUGACACUGAGGCGCGAAAGCGUGGGGAGCGAACAGG
rnacentral:rRNA from 1 species